UACGGAGGGUGCAAGCGUUAAUCGGAAUUACUGGGCGUAAAGCGUGCGCAGGCGGUUUGUUAAGUCUGCUGUGAAAUCCCCGAGCUCAACUUGGGAAUUGCAGUGGAUACUGGCAAGCUGGAGUACGGUAGAGGAAGGUGGAAUUCCCGGUGUAGCAGUGAAAUGCGUAGAGGUCGGGAGGAACACCAGUGGCGAAGGCGGCCUUCUGGACCAGUACUGACGCUCAUGCACGAAAGCGUGGGGAGCAAACAGG
rnacentral:rRNA from 1 species